CUUCUCUCUAUAUCUAUCUCAUGUGUUGAGAAUUUCCCACACUAGUCUAGGUGGUUCUAAGGAUACAUUGGAAGAUCGUGAAGAAAAUAGAAGAUCGGUUCAGUUUCUUGAUAAUACUCUGCGACAGAGAGGAUACAAGAGUUAGAGAAACUGAAGGAAGGACUCUUUAAUUCCGCUCCGUAUACUUAAAGAAUUCUUGCAAGGCAGCCCAGCCUUCAGCUGAAGUUUCAAAUCCAAUCAUCCAAUUGUUCAUCUGAUCGUUCAUGGAGGAGAGCAUCCAUGAGAAUAGCAGUUGGUCUUGGGCUUCCCAGUCGAGAUAUUCUGUGGAGAGACGAUUGGCGGUGCGAUUAGCUUCAGUGUUGAAUUUGGAGGGAGCUGAAUCAACGUCAAAGAAUCAUUGAAGACGAUGACCCCGAACGGCUGUGAGAAUCUGAUGUUUCUAGGAGAGAAAGUUGUGUUCAUCAAGCUUUGAAGACAAUGAAUGCUUGAAGGAAACAAUCUCUUUUGUGCAUGAGGAUGAUGAUGUUGGGAAACUUUAUACAGAAUAUUUAUUUAUUUUCAAGUAGAUCUAAUAUUAAACAAAUUAAUAUGAGAUAACCUAGAACAUAUUUCUAAAAUUGAAUUCAAAGAGAAACAAAGACAAGAAUACUUAC